rnacentral:piRNA from 1 species
UGAGCUACGUUGGUCAUAACUGAGCUGAU